AUGCAAGUCGAGGGGCAGCACAUGAGUAGCAAUACGAUGGUGGCGACCGGCGCACGGGUGAGUAACACGUAUGCAACCUACCUUUAACAGGGGGAAUAACCCGUUGAAAAACGGACUAAUACUCCAGUAACACAGGGGGUCCCGCAUGGGAAUAUUUGUUAAAGAUUAAUCGGUUGAAGAUGGGCAUGCGUUCCAUUAGCUUGUUGGUGAGGUAACGGCUCACCAAGGCCACGAUGGAUAGGGGAACUGAGAGGUUUAUCCCCCCACACUGGAACUGAGACACGGUCCAGACUCCUACGGGAGGCAGCAGUGAGGAAUAUUGGUCAAUGGAGGCAACUCUGAACCAGCCAAGUCCGCGUGAAGGAUGAAGGUCUUAUGGAUUGUAAACUUCUUUUGCAAGGGAAUAAAGUGGGGGACGUGUCCUCCUUUGCAUGUACCUUGCGAAUAAGGAUCGGCUAACUCCGUGCCAGCCGCGGC
rnacentral:rRNA from 1 species